rnacentral:rRNA from 1 species
UACGGAGGGGGCUAGCGUUGUUCGGAAUUACUGGGCGUAAAGGGUGCGUAGGUGGCGCGCUAAGUCAGGUGUGAAAUUUCGGAGCUUAACUCCGAAACUGCAUUUGAUACUGGCGUGCUUGAGGACUGGAGAGGAGACUGGAAUUCAUGGUGUAGCAGUGAAAUGCGUAGAGAUCAUGAGGAAGACCAGUGGCGAAGGCGGGUCUCUGGACAGUUCCUGGACACU